AGCUGGUGAUUGUUUUUAUCAAAGGAGCUGUGAGGGCCUGUGCCCCCUCUGCUGGUUUCCCUGGUAACUAAUGAGUACAUCUGACAUCAAUUCCCUAAAACUGGUAAUCCCUUCUCCUCCCCACCCCCUGAAGUCAAGAGAGCCCUGAUGUCCUGCCUGCGGUCAGCUGCACACGCUUGGGUGUAGUUCCCGGCCCUUGCUUCAGACAGAUUCCUGCUGAUUAGAAAUGGCAUCUCUAUCAUAUGCUUACCUACAUACAGUGAGCUGUCUCUGGGCUCUAUAGUCGUCUGAGUUAUUUAGCCAGUUCUGGCGCCCGGGCUGCGGCAGGUGUGGCGCAUGGGCUCAGAAGUUGCAGCUCCCAGACCCUAGAGCGCCGGCUCAGUCGUUGCGGCGCGCUGGCUUAGCUGCUUCUCGGCAUGUGGGAGCUUCCUGGACAAGGGAUCGAACCCGUAU